UACGUGGGGGGCAAGCGUUGUCCGGAAUCAUUGGGCGUAAAGAGCGUGUAGGCGGCCCGAUAAGUCCGCUGUGAAAGUCCAGGGCUCAACCCUGGAAUGCCGGUGGAUACUGUCGGGCUCGAAUCCGGAAGAGGUGAGUGGAAUUCCUGGUGUAGCGGUGAAAUGCGCAGAUAUCAGGAAGAACACCUAUGGCGAAGGCAGCUCUCUGGGACGGUACUGACGCUGAGACGCGAAAGCGUGGGGAGCGAACAGG
rnacentral:rRNA from 1 species